rnacentral:rRNA from 1 species
GAUGAACGCUGGCGGCGUGCUUAACACAUGCAAGUCGAACGGAAAGGCGCUGCUUUUGUGGGGUGCUCGAGUGGCGAGCGGGAGAGUAACCCGUGAGUAACCUGCCCUUGACUGGGGGAUGACUUCAGGAAACUGGGGCUAAUACCGGAUAGGAGCUACUGCGGCAGGGGGGGGGUUGGAAAGUUUCGGCGGUUGGGGAUGGACGCGCGGCUUACCAGCUGGUGGGUGGGGGAGUGGCCUAGAAAGGCAUGGGCGGGUAGCCGGCCUGCGAGGGUGACCGGCCACAUAGGGGCUGAGAGACGGCCCGGACUCCUCCGGGGGGGAGCGGUGGGGAAUAUUGCACGAUGGGCGGAAGCCUGAUACAGCGACGCCGCGUGCGGGAGGACGGCCUUCGGGUGGUAAGCCGCUUUCGCCUGUGACGAGGCGUGAGUGCGGUUACUGGGGAAAGAAGCACCGCCAACCUAGUU